CUUAUUUUUAUAGUGAAAAUUGAAAAGUACUUGGGUUUUGGUGUUCAAAAAUCCUAGCUCCAACUCAGGGAAAUUAUUUAACCAAUAUGAGAUUUAUUUUGCCAGAUAAAGAUUGUAUUUAGCAGUAAGACCUCAGAGGGUCCGUGUGAGGAUUAAAUGAGAUAUUCCCAGUGAAGUGGUUGGCAUAAUUUCAGGAAUUAUAAUUUAAACAAAUUUAUUUAGACUGCCCAGUGCAGCACCUGUUGUGAAGGCAACAUUGGGAGAGAGGAAGAAAGGUCAAGAUGAAUUGGAGUUGCCUCAGAUGUCAAUCUGUACAAGUUGAGAGGUGCAGGCAUAGAAAAUGUUUAGGUUCUCAGAACUACCUAGACCUGUUGCCCUAAAUUUACAGAAAUUACAGGGAGGCCUGGAGGCUUGAGCAAAAGGGUGAGAAUGAUGGAUAAGAUCAGUUUAAGGAGUAACCUUGAUCUCAUACUUAUAUCUUCUGAAGUUCUGCUUCUCCCAAAUCCUUUGUCCUGCCCAUAUGAGUUCCUAUCAUCUAGACUUUAGUUAAUUCUAUGUCCCAGGUCUUUCCAAGUUUUCUCAAGCUCUUCUCACUCUUUAUAUCUAUCCAAUUAUCUUUCUUUUUUUUUUGGCUAGAUUAAAAAAAAAUUAAUUGAUUUAAUAAUGAUCGACAAGACUGUAGGAUAAGAGGGGCACACUUCCCACUACCAGAGCUUCCAUUUGGAAUCUUUCCUAUUUUUUAUCCCUCUGAGUGUAUGGACCCAGGAUCAUUAUGGGGUGCAGAAGGCAGAAGGUCUGGCUUCUGUAGUUGCUUCUCCACUGGACAUGGGCGUUGGCAGGUUGAUCCAUACCCCCAGCCUGUUUCUGUCUUCCCCUAGUAGAGCACGGCUCUGGCAAGGUGGUGUUCCAGGACACACUGGUGAGGUCAUCUGCCCAUGGAAGUCAGAUUGGCGUCAUAGUACAUCUGCAACUUAACACCUGAAAAGCAAUAAGAUAUAAAGCAGAACAAAUGGUUUAAUAAUCAGGAACCUAAAGGUAAGAAUACAGCAGGUGAGAUUUGGGGUCUCCAUUUUGGAAAAAGCUAGGAAGUCUAUUUUAGGUAUAUUCCAAGGAACCCAUGACUCUACUAAUUUUUGCCUGAGCCCAACAGCUAACAUGCAGGUGGGCUAAAGGUAUUGUCUGGGGAGAUGGUGUCAGAGUUGGGAAUAGGACUAGACAGCUGGAUCAGGGCAGAGUAGCUCCCAAAUAUGGAGAAAGUGUAGAUACUGCUAACUGUAAACCGCAUUGAUUUGAUCCGGGGCCCAUAUUCAGCACAGGAGCCUGUGCAACCUCUUUAUCCUUGUAGGUCUCACUCUUUCCUACACCUUUCCAGUAUGCUUCUACUGCCUGGGUAAUUCUCCUGCCUUCUGUAUGUACUGAACCCUUUACAUUUCAUCUCCUUUCACCUUUCAGGGGUUAGUCCAGCUCAUGUAACUUUUUCUCUUUGUCACUGUGUACCAGAUAGCUAGGCCCCAGUUAGCAUAGGCUGGGUCUCUACUUGUCACAUUAUUUCCCUAUAGAAUCUGGAGAGUGGCCAUCAAAGUGCUAAAAAAAAAGUCUUGGCUCAUGCAUAUUUGUUGGGUAACUGUCAACUGUCUACUUAGACUUUCUAGCAAAUGACCAGGGGAACCGUUCCCCUGUGCAGAGAAUCCUGAUUCACUGUCACUGCUUCUUUGGGGCUGUCACAUUACAUCUCUGAACUGCAGCUUUGUAAAUUGAGAGUUUUGUGCUCGAUUACUGUGGUCACUUCCUCUAAGAAAGUACAUGGUUCUGUGAGCUAUGACACAAUAGCAAAUACACUAUCAGCUUUGAAUGACUGGAUUCUCAUUAUACAGACCACCUAGUCACUCCAGCGCCCUGGAUUUUCAUCUUAGAUAGUGAUCAAUGCAUGGAGGAAGUUGCCUUCCUUUCCUCUUUCUUUCCUUUCUUGUUUGCUUGCUGUGUCUCUCUUCACUAAAAUGUGAGCUGUGUAAGAUCAGAGGCUGUAUUUUUUUAGUAUAAUUCUUCAUUGAAAGGAUUAAUGGUUUAUAGUCAGCCAUAAAAUACAGUAAAAAAAAAAAAGACAGUAGUUUGUACAUGUAUUGCAUUUCUCAGUUUUCCACAUAACAGAUCAACCCCCUCUAGGUCCUCUGCCAUCAUGUUCCAGGACCUGAAGCCUCCCCUCCACCUUAGAGUCCUUUACUUUGGCGCAGUACACCAAACCCAGUCCAAGUUCUGCUUUGUGUUUUCUUAUUUUUCAACUUCUUAAAAAUUUAUUAUUGGUGAUUUAAUAAUGAUCAACAAGAUUGUGGGAUAAGAAGGGUACAAUACCAUACAGUUCCCACGACCAGAGUAAAAUAGCCCAUCCCCUCCAUUGAAAGGUUCCCUAUUCUUUAUCCCUCUGGGAGUAUGGACCAAAGAUCUCUAUGGGGUGCAGAAGGUGGAAGGUCUGGCUUCUGUAAUUGCUUCUCUGCUGGACAUGGGUUUUGACAGGUUGAUCCAUACCCCCAGCCUGUCUCUACUUUCCCUUGUGGGGUAGGACAGAGCCAGUGUUUUAUAUGUAGUUGUACCCCAAACAUCUAUGACAGAGUCUGGAGCAUAGCUAGUGCUCUGUAAAUAUUUGUUCAAUGCCUGAAAAAGGUCCAUUAAGUUGGAUAAAAACAAUUAUUAUUGGACUAUCUGUAGCUAGGAUUUUUUUUUUUAACCAGUAGAAGAGUUCUUAGAGUCCAUCCAUAUUCCAUCUAGAAGUAUCUGGGUUGUGUUAACUGGCCUGGGUAGGUGGGUUGCCUUGUUGCCAGUAAAUCUGUGAGGAGUAAAUGCCUCAGUACCUUCAGGUGCUUAGAUAUUGCAUCUAUCCUGUUGUUACAUUUGUCUCUGUAUUAGUUCAGCUACUUAUUAUUAUUUUAAAUGUUUAUUUAUUUAUUUUCCCUUUUUGUUGCCCUUUUUUAUUGUUGUUGUUAUUGAUGUCAUUGUUGUUAGGACAGAGAGAAAUGGAGAGAGGAGGGGGAGACAGAGAGGGGGAGAGAAAGAUGGAACCUGCAGACCUGCUUCACCGUCUGUGAAGCGACCCCUCCUUCAGAUGGGGAGCUGGAGCCUUGAACUGGGAUCCUUCCGCCUGUCCUUGCACUUUGUGCCACGUGUGUUUAACCUGCUGCACUACUGCCCGACUCCCUCAGCUACUUAUUUUAUUGGAAGAUUUAUAGUCUACAGUUCAGUUGUUGAUACAUGGGUACAGUUUCUCAUCUCCCCAUGAUAGGUGUCUGCAGGACACACUCACCCCUUACUUAAGUCCUUUUCCAGCACCAGGCAUCAGUAACCCAGUACUCUCUCCACUCUCUCCCUUCACCUCUUUCCAAGAGUCUUUUGCUGUGGUGCAGUACACCACACCCAGUCCAAACUUCAGUUCAGUGACUUCUUAAUAACGCUUGCUUCAAGAACUGGAUUAUGGUGGUGGCGCCAGCCUUUUGUGGAAAUAACCUGAGGAUUUGUUUAAUUGAUGAGUUUUUGCCCCAGUACUCACCCUUUCAAAGCCAGUUUGGAGCCAUCAUUUAGUAGAUCUGCUUAUCUGCCACUGGCUAGUUCAUUACACUCUCUGGUUUCUAUGGUCUCUUAAUAGGUUGACAACUCAUUUGCAUAGUGGUGUGUUCCAUCUGUAGUGCCUAAUUAUUCUCAAGGGAAAAUAGUAUCCACCAUUAAAAUGGCUCCAGAACUUUCUUUGCUGAGAUAGCGGAGAUAAAACAGCCCUUUAUUACAUAGGCCCCUGUGCUGAAUAUGGGGUUCAGAUCAAAUUGAUGGAGUUUACAGUUAACAGUAUUUAUACACUUUCCCCAUAUUUGGGAGCUACUCUCUUCCCUGAUCCAGCUUUCUAGUCCUUUUUCUAACUAUGACACCAUCUCCCCAGACAAUAACCUGGGUCCACCUGCAUAUUAGAUGUCAGGCGCAGGCAAAAGCUAAAGUCAUGGGCCCUUUGGAAUAUACCUAAAAUAGACCUACUACUACUUUUUUUUUUUUUUUCAAAAUGGAGACCACAAAUCUUCAUCUGUAAUAUUCUUGCCUUUAGGUUCAUGAUUAGUCAACAAUUUGUUCUGCUUUAUAUCUUAACUCUUUUUCAGCCACCAGGUUCCAGAUGCUAUUAUGAUGCCAACCGGACUUCCCUGGGCAGACGACUCCACCAAAUGUCUUGGAGCCCCAUUUCCCUAGAUCUCUGCCCUACUAAGGAAAGAGCGAGGCAGGCUAGGAGUAUGGAUUGACCUGCCAAUGCCCAUGUUCAGUGGAAAAGCAAUUAGCCAGACCUUCCAGCUUCUACACCCUACUAUGGGUUCAUACUCCCAGAGGGAUAAAGAAUAUGGGAGUUAUCAAGGGCGGGAAUUGGAUAUGGAGCUCUGGGAGUGGGAAUUGUUUGGAAAUGUUCCUCUCUUAUCCUAUGGUCUUGUUAAUAUUUUCAUUUUAUAAAUAAAAAUAAGAAAAGCAUGGGACACAGUCUUUUGGUGAUGGGAAUAGUGUUUAUGUAUACUCCUAUCAAUUUGCAGUCAUAUAAAUCACUAAUUAAUAUGAGAGGGGAAAAUUGACUGAAUAUCUCAAAAAUUAAAAAAAUAAUAAAAGCCCUGUAGAUAAAAGCAUGUUUGAGACCCAAGGCUAGUGGAAUUCAGUGCCUUUCCUACACUGAAUCCUGAAUCCUUUGGUUCUUGUCUAGAACAGUGAGGACAUCUAGGAUGAAAACGAGAGUCCAUCUUAGUCAAACUGUAGAAUGAGGGUGGGAAGAAUGAUGACUAUGUACUAGACUUCAUGUGUGUACACAAUGAUCUCAUUUAAUCCCUUGGCCCAACAAAAGAGAAAACCAGUGCUCAUUGAUUAACAUUCUUACCAAUGAAUAGCCUGAAUUAGUGACUUAGCACAGACGUGAUUGACACCAAAGGCAGUGAUAUUUUUCACUAUGCCAUGUAGUGCCCAGAAUAGUGCCUACUACAUAGCAGAUAUUCCAGGGUGGGGACUGUGGUUCUCAACUGAAUAUUGACCAAGGCUUGUUUUACUUCAUUGCAAUUUCUGUUUUCAUUUCUGGAACUAUAGACCACUCAGCUUCCCUCUCUGAAUUUGGUCCUCUCUGUAGGUUGCCCUGUUUCUUAACUGUAUAAUCUAUUUAUCAUCUUUAAGUUCAGUUCCUCACCCCUCUACUCUUUCUGAGUUUUGCUUCUAUUCUUUGUAGGACCAAUGCUAGAAAGUUGGUGAAGUAUGAUGUGCCUUAAUCUUCCUGGUAUCCAUUAUGCACUUAAUAAGUUCUUAUUGCAAGAAGUAAAGAUAUGCAAAGGUAUAUCGCUGAUAGUAGAUUUUUCAAGGACAGUUGUCAUUAGAUAUGAAGAACUAGACUUAGUGUGGGGAGAGGAUUGGAAAGACUUUUAUUCUAGGCCACUUCUGCCCAUUCUGCUUAUGCUGAAUGAAGCAACAUAGAGAAGGAAGCCUAGGUAUAAAGACAGUCUGUACUUGAAUUUGGGAUAUUUCAGUAAUGAGGAUGCCAUCAGCUGCCAUUGGCUGGCAGACCAAGACUUUCAAGUUUCUAAUGCUGAAAAAUGAGAACAAAAAUCUCUCCUCCAGACUUCUUUUCCCUCUUAAAGAGCUUAGUGAAUAGAACUUAAUUUUGUUUUCUAGCUCGGUAAGAAAAUAUGACUAUAUACUUAGCAGCUCUAUUGCAAGAACCUAUCCUUCAUGACCAGGGAGGUUUAGGACCAGAACUUUGAGGCUCCAAGAUCACUGCAUCAGUGGUGUUCACUUUGGUAUUCCAGUUUGACCUCAGUCUCCCAGGGAUGCCUGAUUAUUGAAGGUGGGCUCCAGCGCAUGAGAAGUGGAAGGAAAAGUCCAAGCUGUCCACUCGCUUUUUCCUGAGGAGGGAGGUUUCCAAGUGUUUCAUAGUUGUUAUCUUGAGGAUCUCACUGCAUCCUGGAGGCAGCCCCUUCACUAACUUUCAGGCUGCUGCCAAGUUGCAGACGCUGCUAUGACACCAUCCUGACUUCUCUGGGAAGACAUCACCAUCAAUGUAUCCUGGAACCUCAUCUCCCCAGAGCCCUACCCCACUAGGGAAAAAUAGAAACAGGCUGGAGGAACAGGGCUGGAAAUCAGUCAUAAGGCAGCCAUCCACAACUAUGUGCAGCCUCGCUGAGCAUGAGCACAUCUUGUGGAUAUGUUCAGUCUAGAGACAGCACAACAGACAACAACCAGACUGCAGUUAUAAUUGUGGUGUUUGUCCGGCUGUGACCUUGCUGUUUAUGCUAUUACUUUCUCACCUUGGAGACUGAAAAACAUAACUGCAUCUCCAAAUCUGGAUUUAUCUAAGAAAAUAAUCAUGGAAUAUCCAGAUACUUAAUUAUGAAGAUACUCAUCAGAAUACUGUAUACAACUAUGAAACAUGGAUAAGAACUUACAUUUGAAACAACAAUGGAGAGUUGGUUAAAUAAGUUAUAGGGCCACAAUAACGUGACUUUAUCAGAGAAUAUUUAAUGAGACAGAAAGACACUCCUGAUAGAAUUUUAUGUGACUGGGUCCCAGGCGAUAACUCACAGGUUAAGUGCCCAUGGUGCAAAGUGCAAGGACCUGCACAAGGAUCCCAGUUUGAGCCCUGCAGGGGGUUUGCUUCAUAAGCGGUGAAGCAGGUCUGCAGGUGUCUUUCUCUCUUCCCCUUUUCUUCCCCUCUUUGCUCAAUUUCUCUUUGUCCUACCCAACAAUAACAAAAGCAAAAUGGAAAAUAUGGUCUCCAGGAGCAGUGGAUUUAUAGUGCCAGCACCGGGCCCCAGUGAUAACACUGGAGACAAAAAAAAAAAUUGUGUGAAUAAAGAACAACAACAACAAAAACCCACCAUUUGUAUGGUGCAAAACAAGCACACAAUAAAAAAGAGUGACAGCCCCAGAAAUUCCCUGCAGGCCAUGCUACUCCCACCAGGGCCUGGGCUUGAGUCCCAACUGUGUGUGCAGCAAGGCAAAGAGAACCUGCAAUAAACUUGAUGUCAAUGUCAUGUAUUGCUGAAGUCUGUGAAAUGUUGUCUUCGACCACUUACCAUUUCUCUCUGGAAGGUGGUGGAAGGAGUUCAACAAUGUGGCAAAUACCCCUCAGAAACUACAGGUA